CUCUUCUUGUUUUAUUUUUGAAGUAUAACCUGCCCACUGAUAUAAAUUUGAAGGGCCGCGGUAUUUUGACCGUGCAAAGGUAGCAUAAUCAUUAGUCUUUUAAUUGAAGACUGGAAUGAAUGGUUGGACGAGGAAUAUACUGUUUCUUAAUAAUUUAAUUUGAAUUUAAAGUUUAAGUUAAAAUGCUUAAAUUUUUUUAUGGGACGAGAAGACCCUAUAGAGUUUAAUAAAUUUUAUUAUUAUUUUGUUCGUUUAAAUUUAAUUUAUUUUAAAAUUUAUUUUGUUGGGGUGAUGGAAAUGAAUUAAUUAACUCUUUCUUUUAUAUGUAUAUUAAUAUAUAGUUUUUUGAUCCAUUUUUAUUGAUUAUAAGACUAAAUUACCUUAGGGAUAACAGCGUAAUCCUUUUUGAGAGUUCUUAUCAAUAAAAGGGUUUGCGA
rnacentral:rRNA from 1 species